rnacentral:rRNA from 1 species
UAACCUGCCCAAGAGAUCGGGAUAACACCUGGAAACAGAUGCUAAUACCGGAUAACAACAGAUGAUGCCUAUCAACUGUUUAAAAGAUGGUUCUGCUAUCGCUCUUGGAUGGACCUGCGGUGCAUUAGCUAGUUGGUAGGGUAACGGCCUACCAAGGCGAUGAUGCAUAGCCGAGUUGAGAGACUGAUCGGCCACAUUGGGGACUGAGACACGGCCCAAACUCCUACGGGGAGGCAGCAGCC